rnacentral:tRNA from 1 species
GCCGAGGUGGCUUAAUGGCGAAAGCAUCGCUCUCCUAAAGCGAAGAUUGCGGGUUCGAGUCCCGCCCUGGGUA